rnacentral:misc_RNA from 1 species
CCGAGUGCGGACCCCUCGCGGGUCCAACCUCCCACCCGUGUCUCUUGUAUACCCUGUUGCUUUGGCGGGCCCACCGGGCAUCCCGGUCGCCGGGGGGCAUUCUGCCCCCGGGCCCGUGCCCGCCAGAGCGCCUCUGAACCCUUAUGAAGAUGGACUGUCUGAGUGAAUUGAUAAUAAUCA